rnacentral:lncRNA from 1 species
UCUUUUCUUGCAUAGGCAUCCAUUUUUUCGGCUAACAACUAACACAAUCCUCUCAGUUUUCUCCUUCGGUGGGACUCCCUGUUCAACGACGCUAACUCCGAUGAGAAGCCAACUACAACGAACAACAACUACCAACCCACCAGAACGAAGCCACAACCAAAAUCACAAAUUCGCGAAGCUGGAGCAGUCCACGCGCUACACGAGUCAGAUCUUACCGGAAUAGUUUUCCACUAGUCACUGUUCAUCUUCUCCGACGAACAUCAUGGUGUUCUCCAUCUAUGGAUAUGUUUAACCAUUGUUGUUUGUUUUCCUAUUACGUCACAAACAAACUCAACUGUCCUUACACUAAAACAGGCCUUUCUUCUUCCUUUUUUCAAUUUUUCUACUCCUUAAACUGCUGAAACUCCAAUCUUUACAACUUUACAAAAUUAAGAUUUUGCCACGAAAAUAGAGAAAAGCAGUGAUGGAUUUGUAAUGGCUGAUCAAACUGAUUUAAAGAGCUUAGAUUAAUAACUGGAAAGGCAUCUUAUUAGAGCAAGAACUAUGGAGAAAAACGAGAAUAACACAGACUAUGCAGGCAAAAAGCAAUGUGAAACAUGGGAUAGAAAACUGAGAAAAGAUCGGAACAGUAAAUAUAGUACUUAUAUAUCCGCCCAUCACCGUGUCUUGCCCGUCCCUCAAUAUCAUAUAAUUCUCUCGCGCAAAAUCAAAAUCCUGCUUCUGUAUGCCCAAAAUGGCAGGUAAUAUUAAAGUACCCUACUGAUUCUUGUAAUGGUUUGAAACUGCUUGUGCUUUUUAUUGAGUUGAUCAACUGUUUUUCUGUCUACACUUGUGCCCUGAAUUUUGUCGAUCUUGAUAAAUAGGAAACAGAUAGUUAGUCUAAUUUAGUAAAUGUAUGGUUCAAUAAUAGUUUAGUUUCUGCAUAAGUGGAGAUCCAACAGACGACAUCGAUAUGGUGUAUUACCGCUAGUAGAAUGAAUAAGUGUGAAGAAGAAAAGAAAAAUUAAAUGGAAAAAUAUAAAUAUUUGGCACUGAGUUGGCAUGCCACAUGGCGUUCAUCUCACACACUUGUUUUCCACAAAAGAGGGAUAUAUUUGCAUACUUUGAUAACGGCCGGGGCAUAAUUGACCCCAUAGUUUAACUAAGGACAAACUUAGCCAAUUUAUGAAAGUAAAGGGAUAUUUUUUAUCCUUUUCCCUUAAUUCAUAUUUGAUGCAUCAUAUCUUGAAAAUGAUUUUUAUUUGAUCACCCAUCAGGUGAUGUUGAUGAAGCAGUUUAUGUUGGCCGAUAGUCAUUUAAUUGGUAAUUAUGUCGGCCGAAUGACCAGUUUAGGGAGUAAUGAUAAGUGUACUAUUUUUUGCAUUAGAAGUUAUAAAUCGAUGGAUAUUUUGUCUAAUUUUACCUUCAUUCUAUAGGUAGAUAGAUUUCCCUUCAUUGUAAGGCAUCUUAUAAGGAACUUCUCUCUUUUUUUUACUUACACAGUAUGUUAAUGCCAUUUGAAUCUAGAGCAAGCUGUUCAUGGGCAAUUCCAGCUAUUUGAGAAUACAGUUGGUUUGCGAGCCUUUGUCAUGGAUGAGUGGCAGACAAGGGCUGGAUUCGACAAUACAGUGUUUCCACUGUUGCUAAUUCUUUCGAUGAAGUUCACUGUUGUAAAUUCUUCAUUAAGUUGAGCUGUUCUUUGCAACAUAUUCCAAAUGAAUUUCUGGAUUGAGACUUCCAG